rnacentral:misc_RNA from 1 species
GCAAACUUGGUCAUUUAGAGGAAGUAAAAGUCGUAACAAGGUUUCCGAGCUUUUAAGUCCUAAGAUGGAACAACCGAAUCCUUCUGCAGUGAAACUUACCGAAGCCUUAGCAGCCUGAAAGGGUGCGGUUCCGCGACUGAAAAAAAUGUUUAGAACUUCGUCGGGUUCUUGUAUUACCCAGAACCCGAUUGCUAGUCCCUCGGAAGGGGGGCGACACUGCCAAAUUGCGGGAACACCCUAAAGACUUUGACUACUGUACCUAUGUUGCUUCGGCGGGCCCGUCUCACGACCGCCGGGGGACCGUCAGACGUCCUCUGGCCCGCGCCCGUCGGUGGCCCUACUUGAUAAACUCUGAUCGAAACGUGUCGUGUCUGAGUAAAAUUCACAAAUUAAAGCAAAACUUUCAACAACGGAUCUCUUGGUUCUGGCAUCGAUGAAGAACGCAGC